GGGGAUGUUUGGUUUCGACGGGGAGCUGAGAUCGUCGGUUGCGAGUCGAGCCGCCCAGUCUCGUUAAAGGGGCAAAAGCCUUAACUGGCAAAACAGUUCGAGCGCCUCAAAUGGCGCUGGCCGCUUAAUAUAGUGGCUCGCCCGCCUAUCCUCAGCCUGAUGGGAUAGGCCCGGCGUCGACAAGUCGGGCUGCUGCGUCUGUAACCGCCUGCUAGCAGAUGCAAAAGAUAAGCGGGCUGGUCUCCUCAAACGCUUUGUUUGUUGAGCGUUGGAGACGAGAGCUUAAUCAAUAGACUACACUCGUAGAUGUCGGCGGUUAAACUUUUCGGACGCGGGUUCGAAUCCCGCCAUCUCCACCA
rnacentral:tmRNA from 1 species